CUUCAUAAUCUGAAAUCCUGCAUAAAAUCAGAUUUGAAUUUGUGAUAUUGGAAGGAAAUGGGGUUCGCGGUAACAAGUUUAAUUUUUGUCGUGGUCGGAGUUAUUGCAUCCUUCGGUGCCGGAAUCUGCUGCAAUAGAGGACCUUCCACUAAUUUGUUACACCUGACAUUGAUUAUCACUGCUACAGUGUGCUGUUGGAUGAUGUGG
rnacentral:misc_RNA from 1 species